rnacentral:rRNA from 1 species
UAACGCGUGAGCAACCUGCCUUUCAGAGGGGGAUAACGAUUGGAAACGAUCGCUAAUACCGCAUAACGUCCGGAUGGGACAUCCUGUCUGGACCAAAGGAGAAAUCCGCUGAGAGAUGGGCUCGCGUCCAAUUAGCUAGUUGGCGGGGUAAAGGCCCACCAAGGCGACGAUUGGUAGCCGGACUGAGAGGUUGAACGGCCACAUUGGGACUGAGACACGGCCCAGACUCCUACGGGAGGCAGCAGUGGGGAAUAUUGCACANUGGGGGGAACCCUGAUGCAGCGACGCCGCGUGAGGGAAGAAGGUUUUCGGAUUGUAAACCUCUGUCCUCUGUGACGAUAACGACGGUAGCAGAGGAGGAAGCCACGGNUAACUACGUGCCAGCAGCCGCGGUAAUACGUAGGUGGCGAGCGUUAUCCGGAAUUACUGGGUGUAAAGGGAGCGUAGGCGGGGGAACAAGUUGAAUGUUUAAGAUAUGGGCUCAACUCAUAUAAGCGUUCAAAACUGUUUUUCUUGAGUGAAGUAGAGGUAAGCGGAAUUCCUAGUGUAGCGGUGGAAUGCGUAAAUAUUAGGAGGAACACCAGUGGCGAAGGCGGCUUACUGGGCUUUAACUGACGCUGAGGCUCGAAAGCGUGGGUAGCAAACAGGAUUAGAUACCCUGGUAGU